AACGAACGCUGGCGGCAUGCCUAACACAUGCAAGUCGAACGAGACCUUCGGGUCUAGUGGCGCACGGGUGCGUAACGCGUGGGAACCUGCCCUUAGGUUCGGAAUAACUCCCCGAAAGGGGUGCUAAUACCGGAUAAUGUCUUCGGACCAAAGAUUUAUCGCCUUUGGAUGGGCCCGCGUUGGAUUAGCUAGUUGGUAGGGUAAAAGCCUACCAAGGCGACGAUCCAUAGCUGGUCUGAGAGGAUGAUCAGCCACACUGGGACUGAGACACGGCCCAGACUCCUACGGGAGGCAGCAGUGGGGAAUAUUGGACAAUGGGCGAAAGCCUGAUCCAGCAAUGCCGCGUGAGUGAUGAAGGCCUUAGGGUUGUAAAGCUCUUUUACCCGGGAUGAUAAUGACAGUACCGGGAGAAUCAGCUCCGACUAACUCCGUG
rnacentral:rRNA from 1 species